UACAGAGGUCUCAAGCGUUGUUCGGAUUCAUUGGGCGUAAAGGGCGCGUAGGCGGCGGGGUAAGUCUGAUGUGAAAUCUAGGAGCUCAACUCCUAAACUGCACUGGAUACUGCUCUGCUAGAGGACUGGAGAGGAGACUGGAAUUCACGGUGUAGCAGUGAAAUGCGUAGAUAUCGUGAGGAAGACCAGUGGCGAAGGCGGGUCUCUGGACAGCUCCUGACGCUGAGGCGCGAAGGCUAGGGGAGCAAACGGG
rnacentral:rRNA from 1 species